AUUCAUUCAACAAUCGUACUAUGCAGUGAUCGUAAUGAGUGACGAAGUGAAAUGGUGUUGACAUGAGUGUGCGAAUUGCGACGCAUGUCUGCGUGAAUCGACACGGGAAGGAAGCACACUUUUGCCAAUGGUCGUUUGUAUGUGGAUUGUGCGGUUUUUAUCGUGACGACGCGUACGAGACCGUCGCUUCCCGGGUGGCAAUCGACUAUACGUCCGAGUUCCCAUUUACACGGCGGAAGGUUCGGAUUGCGUAGAAGUACAAGCUGGCCUACUUUGGUUAAGUUUUGAAUGGUGUGCCAUUUCGGGCGCUGGAAAAGCGUGUGACACUGGGCUCAGGUUGAGCGACAAGGGGGGAGCCGAUAAGGAAAUGGCCUGGUGUUAAGACAGCGUAGUCUUCGAGGCAAUCCGACAUUUUGUC